rnacentral:rRNA from 1 species
GUCAAUGGCCAUGCCACUCUGAACAAGCCCGAUGACUAAGCAGGGUCGGGCCUGGUUAGUACUUGGAUAGGAACCUAGGAAGACCAGGUGCUGUAGGCA